rnacentral:rRNA from 1 species
AACGCUGGCGGCGUGCAUAACACAUUCAAGUCGAACGAAGCACUUUAAACGGAGAUCCUUGGAUCAAGACUUCGGUCAAGUGAGAUUGAGUUUAGUGGCGGACGGGUGAGUAACGCGUGAGGAACCUGCCUUUCAGAGGGGGACAACAGUUGGAAACGACUGCUAAUACCGCAUAACGCGUAGAGAUCGCAUGGUCUUUACGCCAAAGAUUUAUCGCUGAGAGAUGGCCUCGCGUCUGAUUAGCUAGUUGGUGAGGUAACGGCCCACCAAGGCGACGAUCAGUAGCCGGACUGAGAGGUUGACCGGCCACAUUGGGACUGAGAUACGGCCCAGACUCCUACGGGAGGCAGCAGUGGGGAAUAUUGGGCAAUGGGCGCAAGCCUGACCCAGCAACGCCGCGUGAAGGAAGAAGGCUUUCGGGUUGUAAACUUCUUUUGUCGAGGAAGAGUAGAAGACUGUACUCGGCGAAUAAGCCACGGCUAACUACGUG